UCAGUGUCUUUGCUAAAGUAUAACAAGAGCCACCUUUGCUCAAGUUCCCAAGUUCCUCAUCUCUAUCUGAGACCACUUCAGCCUGGACUUUAUUGCCCAUAUCACUAUCAGCAUUUUGGUCAAAGUCAUUAAACAAGUCUCGAGGAAGUUCCAAACUUUCUUACAUUUUUCUGU